rnacentral:RNase_P_RNA from 1 species
ACCAGUAGUUAGGCGAUCGCUGUGUUAUGCAGAGGAAAGUCCGGGCUCCACACAAGCAAGAUGCUGGAUAACGUCCAGCGGGGUAGGCUAAAAGCCUAUUUUAGGGAAAGUGCCACAGAAAAUAUACCGCCAGUUUUAGCUUAAAAGUUAAAGCUGGUAAGGGUGAAAAGGUGCGGUAAGAGCGCACCGUGCAAAUGGCGACAUUUGUUGCAAGGUAAACCCCAUCUGGAGCAAGACCAAAUAGGAGCAAAAGGCUUUUUGCCCGGUGUGUUUGUGCAUCGUUUUUUGCUCGGGUAGGUUGCAUGAGGUGUCAGGUAACUGUCAUCCCAGAGGAAUGAUCGCCCAAAGCACGUAUGUGCUUGGACAGAACCCGGCUUAUAGACUACUGGUUUUU